rnacentral:lncRNA from 1 species
UCUUUGAUGUUAUUGGGUUUGUCUACUGUCACACCUGGAUUUAAGGGAUAAAGUCGGGUACGUCUCAUAUGUGCGCCAAGGAAGAACAACACAUAUAAUAACAGAGUGUAUAGAGACAAAUGUCACAAUAUCAUGAAAGUGAUUAUUACAUAGCGGAAUUGUUACAAAAAUAAAUUAUAAAUAUAAAACGAACUAAGAGUCCAUCCAAGGCACCAUAAAGCUGACUGAGAGACGCCACCUAGAUCAAAUCAUACUCCUCGUUGUACGGCUCCUAAUGGACGCCUUGUUCUUCUCCUAUGGGGGUUAUAUAUCGCAAGUGUGAGCUCACAAAAGAUCAUAGCUCAACAAGUUAUGGGGAAUAAUGUGCAAGAAGUCACCAAAGGUGGAGUUCAUAUGAUGUGUAAGGCUGAUCAACAAUAGGGCUUAAAGCUGAGCAUUGCUUUUAAUAAGUUGGUCAAAUUUUAUUAACAAUUACUGGAUGUAAGUAAAUACCAAACCAUAAUAAUAAUAGAACAAACUUAAUAAUAAAUCCCAUGCAAUGAAAAUAACAAAUUGAAUUUAGUUCCAUAAUUUAAUCAUGCGAGAGUCCUGAGCUGCUCAUGACCGCGAGCACGGCUAGUAUACCAGUUUUACACUCUGCAGAGGUUGUACCCUGUACCCACAAGUCAUGUUACCCAUCUGCCAAGGGGUCAUGAAUCCCAUACAUCUCUACCAAGGAGGCGAGGCAGGGUAACACUACGAGGCCUUUACAAAGUUCCACUAGCUUCAGAAAACCUGCUAUAGUUCUAGGAAGAGUAAUGCAUGAAUCCCCCGUCUGACCUCCAUCGAAGCAAAAUCAACCCGGGAACCUCCCUACACGCCUACUCCCCUACUGCCCUUGCCCCUAUCGGGUAAGGUAGUCCUCCACUAGCUUUCCUAGUUAGUCAGCUAAGGGCGUCCCAUUCCACCCUUGUGGUGGCACGUGUUUCUCAAGUUAAGCUCCAUGGUCCAAUUAAAAAAUAAUGGUCUUGACAUGAACAAUAAAUAAAAUUACAGUAUAAUUGGAACAUGAUCAUAAUGUGAUAUUAAACCCAAAACCAUAUAGACCAAUAGCAAAACUACCCAAAUAAUUCAGGGGUGAACAAGGUAAAAAGAUAACCAGACUAGGCUGGCCUAUUGGGUCCCAUCAAAAUUAAGCCUAUGCAUGGAUAAGUGAUAAUAAAGAACAUUAUUGGGUAACAAAAGUGGUCAAGGGCAUAAAUUGCCUUCAAUGAGCUCCUGCUCAGCAACUUCUACAUGCUGAACACCCGGAUCCUUGGCCACUGCUCUUCUACUCGCCACAAUACAAUCAAGCAUAGUAUAAAAGGAGAAAUUAACAUCACACCAAACAUGUAUACAAAAUACAUAUUAAUAAUCUACACAUUAAAAUAAGAUCAUAGGAAAAACAAUCACUAAAUUCGGAGUUACAGAUAUUUAGUUAUGAAUUUCCGAAGGUUUUAUGUAUUUGAUACAAUAUUAAUUAAGAGAUCAAUUUUAAUACAGUUUUCAUGUCAAAAUAGAGAUGCUAUGUGAUGAACAAUAUUAUUAGAAAAUUACGGGAACUGGAAUGGACUAAAAAGAAAUUAAAAUGAAUUUUAUAUGCAUUUUACAAGUUUCUAGAAUUAUUUUGUAUUAAAAAUCAAUUUCUAUAAUUAAUUCUAUAAUUUCUCUGGUUUCUGGACUGGCGCAUAAAUACAGAUAAGUACAGGGGUUAAUGCGCGAAAAGUCCUAAGACUUAGUGUGCCUGACUCUGGACCGCGGGUUGAUUCCCUAAAAACUAAGGGGCCAAUUUGUUAGCUCGACCGACUAAAAGGGUAUCUACGGAUCUGGGCUACCAGAUCUAAAACCUGUGGCCAGGAUUAGAUCGGGUAUACAAUGAAACGGUAGCGGCGCCCACCGUUCGAUUAUUGGUCAACGACCUAGGUUUAACACUCCUAGCAUGGCCCCAGAGACGCCCGAUCGAGCUCCGAGGGCGCGAAUGCAACAGCCCAAAGGGGUACGCCAUACUCUAAUCCUACUCGUACGUGUGCAAUCCGACGGCUACGGUAGCGUCUUCUUCCUUAGCGCCAGACGACGGUCACGACCGUGCGGCAAUAGCGGCGACAUUACCGGUGUAAGCCGAUUCUGGCCCAUGGUGCCCUACCGAGCUUCUAAUCCGACUCCAGACGAAGCGAAAGAUCAUACUAACAUAUGAAUGGGACCUUACCAUAAUAGAAGUGGUGAGGUGCUCGUCGAUCCGCCGAAACGAGUCCGCGGCGACGCUGAAUUCCGAUGAGAAAUUCUCGGUCAAAUCCGGCUUCCCGGUUCCCAUGGCUUCCUCGACUCGUUACCCACUUCUCCCGCGCACACUCCCCUGUUCGCCAAUCGUCCCUGUGAAUGAUGAAUCGCGCAGCGGCACAACCCUCCCCUGCUCUAGUUCCUGGCGUUAGGCAAAACCGUCCUCGGACGAUGGGGCGCAUGAGCUUAUAUCAUCCCUGAGUCCGCGAGAUGACCGACAGCCCAUGAACGGCAUACCAC